rnacentral:lncRNA from 1 species
CACUUUAUUAGCUGCAGCAAUGAUGACCGCUCGCAGUGCCGUGAUCUGUGGGGAUUCCAGCUCGAGUCCUGAGGACACAGGUACAGUGAGUGUUGGUGAAGGAGACACUGAUCAAGAUGAAGAUACAUAUGGAGCCAUGGAGCCAAAAAGGCAGGUCUUCCUGACUGGCAGCACGCGGCAUGAAUGUCACUCACCCUUCUCUGGUCCCUGUACUAGUCUUAGAAGCUUCCCACUAAUGAAGGGACUAACUCUCACCUGCAACAAAUCCAGCUGAACUCGGUACCGCAAUCAUGACAUUCUGAGAGCGUCCUCCUUAUUCACUGCUGGAAAAUGGAACUUGAAGGGGUUAGGAAGGAGGGGAACGUUACGUCUUGUAGGUCUGAUGUCUAGUUUUUGUUUAGCCACAGCAACUAGUAGUAACAGUACUUUACAGCUUGAAGAACAAUGUCACAUCCAUUUUCUCAUUCAAUUAUCUCAAUAACCCUGUCAAGCCUGGG